rnacentral:lncRNA from 1 species
GUCUGAACAGGGGACCGCCACGCACGCAGGCCAUGUCCAGUGACUCCCCAGCACUGUGGGAGCUGGUGGAGGAACAUGUUCCACUCCCAGAGCGGCCUGAAGUGAAGAGGAUUUUGGGGGAGGCAGCGGUGGACCUGAGUCUGGAGUUGCGAGAGGAGGUGGGAGUCCGGUGGGUGGGGGUGGGUCGCAUUCCAGGCCUGCCCCACAACUCACGUGGUUUCCUGCCUCCACCAGGUCCCUAACCCUAUUUUGGUGACCCCCUAACACCUUGUUUUCAAUGUCUGCCCUUUCUCUCAUGUUUGACUCCCCACCCCCACCCCUGCAAUGCCCCCCAACACACACACACCCAUCCCCUCUGCCCCAGUGGCAAGGUGCCCCAGCUCUCCUUGCAGGUGGCGAUGCUAAAGGCACUGCUCCAAGAGUUCCGAUCUUCUCAAGCCUCGGGAUCCCACCCCAUCUCCGACUCUCCCUCCCUUCUGGCACCACCACCCCACUUGAGGGAUAUCAUGCGCCAAGAACUCCGACAGUUGCUCCAAGGCCUCCGCCUUAAGGCUAUCUGUGAGGGCAGGGACCAGACCCAGGCGUGGGCCCAGUAUAAUCCCAGGGUCCUUCGUUUUGCCUUAGAGGAUCCCAGGUGUGACUCAACACAACAGGAACUGUCCCAGAAGAGAGCUGGUGAGCCCAGGACUAGAAUGAGCAACACAGAGGGGGUGAUGUUAACUUCACCUGUCAGCAGCUGUCACAGGGACCUCAGUGUCAUCAAGAACGAACUGAAUGUGUCUAACAUUGACCAAGUUGCCAGACACCUGAGGAGACUCUUGGAGGAGGAGUGUCACAUGUUGCAGAGACAGGUCUCUGAGCUGCAGCACUGUCUGGAAAUGGAGCAGAUGCAGGCUUGCCAGCCCUCCAAGGCCACCCUAGAGCCCACCCUGGCAGAGAUAAAGGAACAGAAGAAGGCCAUGGAACAGGAGCUACGGUUCUCUCUGGGGCCUUCCAGUGUCUCUGCCAAGCACAGGCAGAAGCCCUUGAGGUCCAUUCCGGGCCUCAGACCCUUUCCUUGUCUCCAUGGCUACAUGCCUACACCUCCUUCGGAACGCUGCCCCCACCCUCAAGGUCAGGCAACCACCCACCGCCGCUGGGGACGGCAACUUCGAUACAGCUACUGGGAAGAGCCUACUUCCACAGCCGUGGCCAAUGCAGCAUCCCAGGCUCCGACCUGA